CUUUAUUUAAUUUACUGGAGGCUCCUACUCUCUUCUACUCCCCAAACCACAGAGAAUAGACAGACAGAGUUGCAAGACCGAGUAUAUUUCCAGGAAGUUUUCCCAUGCUGUGGGCACACCAAGUUCCAAAUUCAGACCAUCAGAGGAGGAGGCCGCUGGAAAUGUGGCCUUGAGGGUCUCUCCAUCCACACCAGCAGAGUGGCUCAUCCAGAUAAGGAGGAGAAAGAAGAGGACGUGGAAUGACAUGUUCCAAGAGAUCCUGCAAGCCUCUACUGCUUCAGAUACCGAGCACAGGGCUUGGAGGAACACCCUCGUCGACAGCAUGGCCAGGGAUAGAGUGGAGAGGAGAACUGUGCAGGAAAAGGAGAGGAACGUUCAGCAGGAGAUCCUAGUGUUUCUCAAGCAGCAAACAGACACUCUGCAGAUUCUUGUUGAUCUUCAGGUUCAACAGUGUAAUGCUCAUCCCCCUCUGCAGCCCAUAGAGAACUGCAUUUCGGGACCUCCCUCCCCCCUCCCCCCAUGCAUUCCACAUGAUGUCUGGGGCAGUUGCACUACCCCUACUACUCCACACCAGGGGAGAGUACAGGCAAUCACAGCUGCACAUACACUGAACUGUGAAAGACAUGAUUGCUGUAUGUGCUUCUGAAAUGGAAAUGACUGUGCUUUCCCCUCUAUUUAUUGAGUUUUAUUCAGUUACUAGUUUGUCUGUUUGCAUGGGUAUGGGAUAAAAGUCUAUUUAUGGAAACCUAAUUAUCUUUAUUAGUUCACAGCAUAUGCUGGCUGGGGCUGACAUCAUUCACAGAUAAUAGUAAUAGGUGCAUUUGCAAUGUUAUAUUACCAUACACACAACACUUAUUACAAUAUUCAUAGUGGGGUGCAAAAAACAAUGCCAGGCAGACCCCACUACAGCAACACACAUUGCUGUGGCUCAUUAUUGAAAUGGUCUUUCAAAAACCUCCCUAAGCUGAAUAGCUCUGUGUUGAGCUCUUAUAGCCCUGGUAUCUGGCUGCUCAAAACCAGCACACAGCCAUUUAACCUCCACCUAUAAUUAUUGAGAUAUUUUUUCUCACUAAGGCCCUAUCUCGUGAGUAGACAGCGCCAGUGACCCUUCAGAUGACCAAAGGCACAUUCAACUGCUAUUCUGCAUCUGCUGAGCCUAUAGUUGAAGGGCUCCGUGGUGCUGUCAAGGUGACCAGUGUUACAGCUUCAUGAGCCAUGAGAGUAAAGAGUAGGCUGGGUCUCCCAGGUUCACUAUUGGCAUUUCAACAUCCCCAGUGGUAAUCUGCCAGUAUGGAAAGAAAGUUCCUGCUUGCAGCAUUCUGAACAGUUAAGUGUGCUUAUACAUGCGCACAUCAUGCACCUUCCCUGACCAGCCCACAUGGAUGUCAAUAAAGCAUCCCUGGAAAUCCACCAAUGCUUGUUUUAUCAUACAAAAGUAGCCCUUUCUGUUGAUGUACUCUGUGGCAAAGUGGUCUGGGGCCAAAAUCAGGAUAUGCAUGCCAUCUUUCACCCCACCACAGAUUAGGAACCCCAUUGCUGCAAAACCAUCCACUAUGUCCUGCAUAUUGCCCAGAGUCAAAGUCCUUUGUAGCAGGAUGCAAUUAAUGGCCCUCCCCCCUUGCACCACAACGGCCCCUAUGGUGGAUCUCCCAACUCCAAAUUGAUUCCCGACCAAUUGGUAGGAAUUGGGAGUUGCAAGUUUCCACAGAGCGAUUGCCACUUGCUUCUCCACUGUCCAUGCAGAUCUCAUUUUGGUAUGGCCAUGCUGGAGGGCUGGGGUGAGCUCUGCACACAGAUCCAGGAAUGUGGCCUUGCGCAUUCAAAAGUUCUGCACUCACUGCUCGUCAUCCCAAACCUGCAUGACAAUGCAAUCCCACCAGUCACUGCUCGUUUCUCAAGCCCAGAACCAGCACUCCACCAUCUGCAGCUGCUCUGUGAAUGCCACCAACAGCUUUGAAUUGUUUUUUUUCUAUGUCCCACAGCAAGGAAUCAUGUUCCCAGUGGCUCCUCUGGCAGUUCUGCAAAUAUUGUGGGAUUAGAUACCUUGUGUUUACCACGCUCAUCACAAUAGAGCAGAGCUGUGCAGGAUUCAUACUUCUGACACAGAUGGUGGACAGUGAGGAGGGACGCAUGGGUUUGUGGGGAUUUUGAAAAGAGACAUGAAACAUUAGGGGAUGCAAGAUGAAACUAUGGGAUUGAGACCAUUGCAUUAUGGGACCUUGAAAUCAUGUUCGCAGUCACCCCUCCACGAUUUGUUUAAGUCCCAUGAGGCAUUGCAAAACCUUCCCAAAACUCCCUAUGCUAUAUGGUGGUGAGUUGUACGGUGGGAUAGUUACCCAUGGUACACUGCUCUCUGCAUUGAUGCAAGCGUUUCUAAUGAGGACGUUCACCGUUGACACAGUAUCAGAGGGAUAGCCGUGUUAGUCUGAAUCUGUAAAAAGCAACAGAGAGUCCUGUGGCACCUUUAAGACUAACAGAAGUAU